CGGAGGGUAGUUUAAGUAAUAAAAUAUUAAUUUUGGAUGUUAAAGAUAUAUUUUUUCCUCUGA
rnacentral:tRNA from 1 species